CUAAACCAUGCACCGAAGCUGCGGCAGCGACACUAUGUGUUGUUGGGUAGGGGAGCGUUCUGUAAGUCUGCGAAGGCGGUUCGAGAGGACUGCUGGAGAUAUCAGAAGUGCGAAUGCUGACAUGAGUAACGUUAAAGCAGGUGAAAAGCCUGCUCGCCGUAAGCCCAAGGAUUCCUGCUCUACGUUCAUCGGAGCAGGGUGAGUCGGCUCCUAAGGUCAGGCCGAAAGGCGUAGCCGAUGGGAAUCAGGUUAAUAUUCCUGAACCUGCGUCAGAUGCGAUGGGGGGACGGAGCAUGAAAGAUCAUCCGGGUGUUGGAAGUCCCGGUUGACGAGCGUAGGAGGUCUGCAGGCAAAUCCGCAGACGCAUCUCCAAGGCGAAGUCACGUGCCGCCACGGCGGCGAAGUGAUCGGAAGUGCUUCCAAGAAAAGCCUCUAAGCACCAGUCUGACGCGGACCGUACCGCAAACCGACACUGGUGGGCGAGCUGAAUAUGCUCAGGCGCUUGAGAGAACUCGGGAGAAGGAACUCGGCAAAUUGACACCGUAACUUCGGAAGAAGGUGUGCCGUAGUACCGUGAGAGGAGAGACACCUUGAGCGGGAAACGGUCUCAGAGAAUAGGUGGCUGCGACUGUUUAUUAAAAACACAGCACUCUGCAAAGUCGAAAGACGACGUAUAGGGUGUGAUGCCUGCCCGGUGCUGGAAGAUUAAUUGAUGGGGUGAGAGCCCUUGAUCGAAGUCCCAGUAAACGGCGGCCGUAACUAUAACGGUCCUAAGGUAGCGAAAUUCCUUGUCGGGUAAGUUCCGACCUGCACGAAUGGCAUAACGAUGGCCACACUGUCUCCUCCCGAGACUCAGUGAAGUUGAAAUGUUUGUGAUGAUGCAAUCUACCCGCGGCUAGACGGAAAGACCCCAUGAACCUUUACUGCAGCUUUGCAUUGAACUGUGAACCGAUUUGUGUAGGAUAGGUGGGAGGCAGAGAAGAGGCCACGCCAGUGGUCUUGGAGCCGACCUUGAAAUACCACCCUGAUUUGUUUGCGGUUCUAACCACGGACAGUGAUCCUGUCUUGGGACCGUGCAUGGUAGGCAGUUUGACUGGGGCGGUCUCCUCCUAAAGGGUAACGGAGGAGUACGAAGGUACGCUAGGUACGGUCGGAAAUCGUGCUGAUAGUGCAAUGGCAAAAGCGUGCUUGACUGCGAGAGCAACAACUCGAGCAGAUGCGAAAGCAGGUCAUAGUGAUCCGGUGGCUCUGAAUGGAAGGGCCAUCGCUCAACGGAUAAAAGGUACUCUGGGGAUAACAGGCUGAUACCGCCCAAGAGUUCAUAUCGACGGCGGUGUUUGGCACCUCGAUGUCGGCUCAUCACAUCCUGGGGCUGAAGUAGGUCCCAAGGGUAUGGCUGUUCGCCAUUUAAAGAGGUACGUGAGCUGGGUUUAAAACGUCGUGAGACAGUUUGGUCCCUAUCUUCUGUGGGCGAAGGAGAAUUGAGAGGGCCUGUCCCUAGUACGAGAGGACCGGGAUGGACGCACCCCUGGUGAUCCUGUUGUCGCGCCAGCGGCAUAGCAGGGUAGCUAUGUGCGGAAGGGAUAACCGCUGAAAGCAUCUAAGCGGGAAACUUGCCUGAAGAUGAGUCUUCCCGGAGGUUGAACCUCCCUCAAGAGUCGUCCGAGACCAGGACGUCGAUAGGUCAGGUGUGUAAGCGCUGUAAGGCGUUGAGCUAACUGAUACUAAUUGCUCGUGAGGCUUGAUC
rnacentral:rRNA from 1 species